rnacentral:rRNA from 1 species
UACGUAGGAUGCGAGCGUUAAUCGGAAUUACUGGGCGUAAAGCGUGCGCAGGCGGUUCUUCAAGUCCGUUGUGAAAGCCCCGGGCUCAACCUGGGAAUGGCAGUGGAAACUAGGGGACUGGAAUCUGGCAGAGGGGGGUGGAAUGCCGCGUGUAGCAGUGAAAUGCGUAGAGAUGCGGCGGAACACCGAUGGCGAAGGCAGCCCCCUGGGCUGAGAUUGACGCUCAGGCACGAAAGCGUGGGGAGCAAACAGG